GAUGAACGCUAGCUACAGGCUUAACACAUGCAAGUCGAGGGGUAACGAGAGGAAAGCUUGCUUUCCUUGUCGACGACCGGCGCACGGGUGAGUAACACGUAUCCAACCUGCCCCCAACUAGGGAAUAACCUUGCGAAAGUAAGACUAAUACCCUAUAAUUUCCUCAGAUGACAUCUGACGAGGAAUAAAGAUUUAUCGGUUGUGGAUGGGGAUGCGUCUGAUUAGCUUGUUGGCGGGGUAACGGCACACCAAGGCAACGAUCAGUAGGGGUUCUGAGAGGAAGGUCCCCCACAUUGGAACUGAGACACGGUCCAAACUCCUACGGGAGGCAGCAGUGAGGAAUAUUGGUCAAUGGGCGGAAGCCUGAACCAGCCAAGUAGCGUGCAGGAUGACGGCCCUAUGGGUUGUAAACUGCUUUUAUACAGGAAUAAAGUUAGCCACGUGUGGUUAUUUGUAGGUACUGUAUGAAUAAGGACCGGCUAAUUCCGUGCCAGCCGCCGCAGUAA
rnacentral:rRNA from 1 species